GUUUAAAGUAAAUUAGCUUGACCUGUUGGUGACAACAUUUGUUUCCAACUAAAUAUGUACCUGCUUCAAGUAUUUCAUUGAAUUUCCAAGCCCACAGUCCAAUUUACACAAAAUAAAUCUUAUAGCCCCUGUUUGGGAUAACAGUGUGUACAAUCAUUGUGCCAGUAUCCCAUCGUUAGGUCCCAUAAUUUUCCCAUCGUUAGGUCCCAUCAUUUUCCCAUCGUUAGGUCCCAUCAUUUUCCCAUCGUUAGGUCCCAUCAUUUUCCCAUCGUUAGGUCCCAUCAUUUUCCCAUCGUUAGGUCCCAUCAUUUUCCCAUCGUUAGGUCACAUCAUUAGCCCAUCUUAAUCAACAAAAAUGCUAAUGUUCAUUUUCAAACAGAAUGGAGAUCAAAGGUAGUAUAUUGUAACUACCUUUUAUUUAAAUGCACUACUUGUUUUGACAGAAUUGGAUGUAAUUGUUAUUAUAUAUUGAUUCACAAAAAUAUAGUGAUGCUGUGCUGCUCAGAUAAAUGUUUUCAAACAAGUUUCUCUGAUGGCCAAAUACAUGCACAGUUCUGAAUAUACUGUAAAUUAAAAAAUCAUGUUUGUGUGACAUUCAACACAUGAGGAAUAUGCAAAAAUAACUACAGCAGCAAUUGAGCAGCCAUCUCUCCUCCCCUUCAG
ensembl:lncRNA